CAACAGGGAUUGCCCCAGUAACGGCGAGUGAAGCGGCAACAGCUCAGAUUUGAAAUCUGGCCCCCGUACCGCGCGGGCCCGAGUUGUAAUCGUGAGAGGAUGCUUUUGGCGAGGCGCCUUCCGAGUUCCCUGGAACGGGACGCCGCAGAGGGUGAGAGCCCCGUCGGGUCGGCCGCCUAGCCUCCACACAAAGCUCCUUCGACGAGUCGAGUAGUUUGGGAAUGCUGCUCUAAUGGGGAGGUAUAUGUCUUCCAAAGCUAAAUACCGGCCAGAGACCGAUAGCGCACAAGUAGAGUGAUCGAAAGAUGAAAAGCACUUUGAAAAGAGAGUUAAACAGUACGUGAAAUUGUUGAAAGGGAAGCGCUCAUGACCAGACUUGGGCCGGGCGGAUCAGCCGGCGGUCCUCCGCCGGCGCACUCCGCCGGGUCCAGGCCAGCAUCAGUUCGCGCCGGGGGACAAAGGCGGCGGGAACGUGGCUCCCCCAGGGGAGUGUUAUAGCCCGCCGCGCAAUGCCCCGGGGCGGACUGAGGCCCCGCGCGUCUCGACGCAAGGAUGCUGGC
rnacentral:rRNA from 1 species